rnacentral:rRNA from 1 species
CAGCAGCCGCGGUAAUACGUAGGGUGCGAGCGUUGUCCGGAAUUAUUGGGCGUAAAGAGCUUGUAGGCGGUCUGUCGCGUCUGCUGUGAAAACCCGAGGCUCAACCUCGGGCCUGCAGUGGGUACGGGCAGACUAGAGUGCGGUAGGGGAGAACGGAACUCCUGGUGUAGCGGUGGAAUGCGCAGAUAUCAGGAAGAACACCGGUGGCGAAGGCAGUUCUCUGGGCCGUAACUGACGCUGAGAAGCGAAAGCGUGGGGAGCGAACAGGAUUAGAUACCCCGGUAGUCCCUGUCUCUUAUAC